rnacentral:antisense_RNA from 1 species
GCUCAGCACGUGGCCCUCGAGGACUUGGCGGCUGCGCGGCUGGCGCGUGGAGAAGUUGCGCAUCAUGCUGUGGGCUGCGCGCCGCUGCACCUUCCAGUGCUCCGAGUAGUGGCCGAAAGCCAUGCUGCGGCCGCCGGACACCACACGGAAGGAGGCGAAGGACGGCCGGUCGGCGAAGGCCGAGCCCUGCUGCACCAGGGCCUGGUGGAUGGCGCGCUCGCCAUUCAGCACCACUAUGGGGCAGCUGCCCAGGCGGAUCUGGAAGACGUCGCCGUAGCGCCGCGCCAGGCGCGCGAACGACAGGCAGCACUGAGGAGUAAAGGAAUAUUUGGGAGGAUCAGAAGCUUGGUCCUGAUUUUGCCAUCAACCAGGACCUUGAUGACUUCAAGGGAGUCCCCAAACCCUGGGUUUCUGUUUUCUCAACUCUAACAUGAGGGGCUAGACGCAUCUGGUUUAGUUCGUCUCCAUGAUCCUGUGAAUUUCAGAUGUUGAAAAUCUUCAGAAAAGCCCUGAAAGAUGAAGAGUGGUCUCAAAUAGUCAAGACCCCCUGCUGGGGGGAGCGUCUAUCCUGCUCUGUGGAA